GAGGAAAUCAUCAUAGCCAUUCAGAAAAGAAUAGAACUCAUCAACACACAACGGAAACAAAUAUGUUCUGUUCAGAAGACAUAAGUCCAAGUCCAGAUGGGUCGUUACUCACAUCAACACAAUAGAGAGGAAUAGAAAAGAAAAAACAAUGCAUAUUAAAGAAGGAAAAUCAAAUAUUUGCAGCGUAGCAAAAGAGGGCUCAGUUUUGCCUUUCAUCUUAAAGCCCAGCACUCACAUAGCUUGCUGCAUAAUCUACCCAUCGCGAUGUAAGAGGACUGUCCUGGUUAUCAUUCAUCAGAAUGACCGUCCAAGGCACAGAACAUCCAACAUUAGCUAUGAAUUGAAUUGCUGCAAGAGAGGUAAGGGUGCGCUCUAAUUUAGUACCCACAGGCCACAGCUGUCUUAAUUGCUCAAGAUAUGCUUAUUUCAGCCAUGGUCAUCAUCAUCGCCCCUGGUAAGAACUCCAUCUCUUCAUCACACAGAUCAAAUAUUUGUAGCGUAGCAAAAGAGGGCUCAGUUUUGCCUUUCAUCUUAAAGCCCAACACUCACAAGAGAACAUUGUUCAACAGAUGCUAUAAUGUACUAAGUGACAGUACAAGGUUUUCUCAUGCUAGGUGUAGAAAGAUUGCUAACUGAAACUGAAACUGAGAAUAUGGUUAAAAUAUCUCCCAGCUCUGCCUACAAAAAAUAUAAGACAUGCAGGACAAGCUCAAUUCACAACUCAAGAGGGCUGUGUAAUAAGGGAAGAGAAACUGCCAGGGGUAAAACAAUUGAAAAGCAAACAUAAUACCAGCAAUCUAUAUCUCAGGAUAUGUUGAAAGAUAUUGAGCACCAAGUGGGAGGAAAUCAUCAUAGCCAUUGAGAAAAGAAAAGAACUCAUCAACACACAACGGAAACAAAUAUGUUGUGUUCAGAAGACAUAAAUCCAAGUCCAGAUGGGUCGUUACUCACAUCAACACAAUAGAGAGGAAUACAAAAUAAAAAAACAAUGCAUAUUAAAGAAGGUAAAAUCAAAUAUUUGUAGAGUAGCAAAAGAGGGCUCAGUUUUGCCUUUCAUCUUAAAGCCGAACACUCACAUAGCUUGCUGUAUACUCUACCCAUCGCGAUGUAAGAGGACUGUCCUAGUUAUCAUUCAUCAGAAUGACCGUCCAAGGCACAGAACAUCCAACAUUAGCUAUGAAUUGAAUUGCUGCAAGAGAGGUAAGGGUGCGCUCUAAUUUAGUACCCACAGGCCACAGCUGUCUUAAUUGCUCAAGACAUGCUUAUUUCAGCCAUGGUCAUCAUCAUCGCCCCUGGUAAGAACUCCAUCUCUUCAUCACACAGUAGCAUCCAUCCAUCCAUCAGACUGGCCAUAGUGGUGAGUAACUUAGACAGUCUCUGGAGCUGCUCAAACCUGGCGUCACAGCCGACCAAACCUCAUCAGAGACAGACACAUCAGAACAGAACUCUACGGUUCCCAGCCCACGCCACAACCAAAUCCAAGGCAAUGGAAUGGCAGGCUGGCAGCACCAUAGCAACAGGGAACUGAUGUGGCAGCCACCCAGACGACCGGUCAGCGAGUCGGCGAUGAGAGCUUCACUAGUUUGUUCUUCUUCUUCUUCUUCGUAGGGAGAGGGGGUAGAGAGAGAGAGGAGGAUCCAUCCCAGAUCCAGAACAAAAUGCAACUGAACUGAGUAUAUGUACUAAAUCUCUACUAUCUCUACUAUUAAAGCAGGAUCGAACGUCGUGAUGGUUCAACCUACCGAUGGUUCGACCUCCCAGCGAUCCCACCUCCCACGUAAAGAAAAUCGACUCCCAGCGAGACUAUUAACCAGAAAGAAAGAAACCAUCUCGCAAGAACCAUCCCACCUCUCCCAGCAAGACUAUUAACCAGAAGAAAAAAACCAUCUCGCAAGAACCAUCCCACCUCGCAAGCUUCCCAGGUAAAGAAAAACGGCCGGUAAGAAAGAAAAAAACCAUCGUACAUCCCACCUCUCAAUCCACCUCCUCCUCCAUGUAAAGAAAAACGACACGAUCUCCUGCACGACCAAGCAGAAUCCAUCUUUGUCACGAACCCAAACCACCCGCCGCCAUCCUCAGGCGACCGUCUCAUCGCGCCCUUGCUCUCCCCUUCCAGCGUAGCAAAAGAGGGCUCAGUUUUGCCUUUCACCUUAAAGCCCAACACUCACAUAGCUUGCUGCAUAAUCUACCCAUCGCGAUGUAAGAGGACUGUCCUGGUUAUCAUUCAUCAGAAUGACCGUCCAAGGCAUAGAACAUCCAACAUUAGCUAUGAAUUGAAUUGCUGCAAGAGAGGUCAGGGUGCGCUCUAAUUUAGUACCCACAGGCCACAGCUGUCUUAAUUGCUCAAGACAUGCUUAUUUCAACCAUGGUCAUCAUCAUCGCCCCUGGUAAGAACUCCAUCUCUUCAUCACACAGUAGCAUC
rnacentral:lncRNA from 1 species